AUGGAUUCAAUCCCUGGCUCCAGAAGAUCCCCUGGAGGAGGAACUGGCAACCCACUCCAGUAUUCUUGCCUGAAAAAUCCCUUGGAUAGUGGAGCAUGGCGGGCUAGUGCUUGGGGUCGCAAAGAGUCGGACAGGACUGGGCAACUAAGCACGAAUCUCUUCCUUCUACUGCCCCCUAGAGGCCUCCGACUGUCAAAGUCCCAAGAUUCGAUCUUCAGAGACUUCUGGCCCACAGGACUCAAGGAUUCCCUUAAAUUCCUUCAGUCCCCUUCCCUGCAGGAGACCCUUGGGUGCCUUCUUCUCUCCCUUGAGCCUUACCCACUCGUUCAACACCUCCAACUUAAGAGCCCUUCCGGUCUUGGGGUUUUCCACUAUUCUCAGAAAUGGUCGGGAUGCUUUGGCAAGAGGUUACUGGAGACUGAGUUUAAAAGGUGCCUACCAUUCCAAAAGAAGAAGCAGAAGAACCAGGAAAGCUACUAAACAACAACAAACUUUUCCUAACUGAAGGCUAGCUUUCUUAGGCUUAGCAAGGCAACAACUCCAUUCUUCCUGAAAUAAGUCAUAGGCAAUACAGAAAAAAAAAUGGGCAUGACUGCGCUUCAAUAAAGCUUUAAUUAGGGACACUGAAAUUUGAAUCUCAAGUCAUUUCCAUGCAUCAUAAAACAUCCUUCUUUUGAUUUUUUUUUUCCCCCGAACCAUUUAAAAUGUAAAAAACACUCUCAGCUCACAGGUGCCAUCAAAGCCGACAGCUUGACCCGUGAGGUUGUCUGGGCGACCUCACAAACAGGCAUGCUUCAUCCUCUCUAAAGGCUCCCCCAACCGUUGAGAAACUGAGACUGUGAGUAAUCAGCUGGGCCGGGGCCUGGGGUUCUCCGAGAAAAAGCUUUUCCUUGCUCAGAAGAGUGUAUUUGGAGAAAUGAGGGCAGGAGGAGAAGGGGGCAACAGAGGAUGAGAUGAUUGGAUGGCAUCACCGACUCAAUGGACAUGAGUCCGAGAAAACUCCAGGAGAUGGUGAAGGACAAGGAAGCCUGGAGGGCUACAGUUCAUGGGGUCGCAAAGAGUCGGACACGACUGAGCAACUGAACAACUCUGGAGACAUUCAUCAAGCUGCUCCAGGGUCUGGGAUGGGAUGACCCAUCCUCGGAGCAUUAAAAAGAGAGAGAGACAGACCACACUCUGUUCUCAUCCCAAUUGCUCUGCCUCUCUCCCUGGCUUGCAUCUGAG
rnacentral:lncRNA from 1 species